rnacentral:rRNA from 1 species
AUACGAAGGGAGCUAGCGUUGUUCGGAAUUACUGGGCGUAAAGCGCACGUAGGUGGAUUCGUCAGUUGGGGGUGAAAUCCCAGGGCUCAACCCUGGAACUGCCUUCAAUACUGCGAAUCUUGAGUCCGAGAGAGGUGAGUGGAAUUCCGAGUGUAGAGGUGAAAUUCGUAGAUAUUCGGAGGAACACCAGUGGCGAAGGCGGCUCACUGGCUCGAUACUGACGCUGAGGUGCGAAAGCGUGGGGAGCAAACAGGAUUAGAAACCCCAGUAGUCC